GAUGAACGCUGGCGGCGUGCCUAAUACAUGCAAGUCGAACGAAACUUCUUUAUCACCGAGUGCUUGCACUCACCGAUAAAGAGUUGAGUGGCGAACGGGUGAGUAACACGUGGGCAACCUGCCCAAAAGAGGGGGAUAACACUUGGAAACAGGUGCUAAUACCGCAUAACCAUAGUUACCGCAUGGUAACUAUGUAAAAGGUGGCUAUACUACCGCUUUUGGAUGGGCCCGCGGCGCAUUAGCUAGUUGGUAGGGUAAAGGCUACCAAGGCAAUGAUGCGUAGCCGAAUUGAGAGGUUGAUCGGCCACAUUGGGACUGAGACACGGCCCAAACUCCUACGGGAGGCAGCAGUAGGGAAUCUUCCACAAUGGGCGAAAGCCUGAUGGAGCAACGCCGCGUGGGUGAAGAAGGUCUUCGGAUCGUAAAACCCUGUUGUUAGAGAAGAAAGUGCGUGAGAGUAACUGUUCACGUUUCGACGGUAUCUAACCAGAAAGCCACGGCUAACUACGUG
rnacentral:rRNA from 1 species